rnacentral:rRNA from 1 species
CCUACGGGAGCAGCAGUGGGGAAUUUUGCGCAAUGCUCGUAAGAGUGACGCAGCGACGCCGCGUGAAUGACGAAGGCCUUCGGGUCGUAAAGUUCUUUUGACCGGGAAGAAAAUGCCUAUAAGUAACUGUGUAUGUAUUGACGGUACAUGUAUAAGCAGCCCCGGCUAACUCCGUGCCAGCAGCCGCGGUAAUACGGAGGGGGCGAGCGUUGUUCGGAGUGACUGGGCGUAAAGGGCACGUAGGCGGUGUUGUAAGUCAUUAGUCAAAGGCUAGGGCUCAACUUUAGUAAGGCUAGUGAUACUAUAAUACUAGAGUGUCAGAGAGGAAUGCAGAAUUCCUGGUGUAGCGGUGAAAUGCGUAGAUAUCAGGAGGAAUACCGUUAGCGAAGGCGGCAAUCUGGCUGGAAACUGACGCUGAGGUGCGAAAGCGUGGGUAGCAAACAGGAUUAGAUACCCGAGUAGUC